rnacentral:rRNA from 1 species
CAGUCGCCGCGGGAAUACGUAGGGUGCGAGCGUUAAUCGGAAUUACUGGGCAUAAAGCGUGCGCAGGCGGUUGUGUAAGACAGGUGUGAAAUCCCCGGGCUUAACCUGGGAACUGCGCUCGUGACUGCACAGCUAGAGUAUGGCAGAGGGGGGUGGAAUUCCACGUGUAGCAGUGAAAUGCGUAGAGAUGUGGAGGAACACCGAUGGCGAAGGCAGCCCCCUGGGCCAAUACUGGCGCUCAUGCACGAAAGCGUGGGGAGCAAACAGGAUUAGAUACCCCCGUAGUCCCUGUCUCUUAUAC